GGGUUUCACGUACAUACAUCUGCUUUCAUUAAUCCGGCUGCCUAUAUCUCAAUCUUCUGUACCUGAACCUGUCUUUGGUGGAUUCAUUUUCUUAAAGUAGUGUGGAUAUCAGCAAGGUUUAAAACACAAUGACUUCUGGCUUAGCUUAUGUAGUGGCGCGCAAGACAAUUGCAGUAACCGUCUAAUUCAGAGGUAGAGCGUGCGCUUCGUAACUUCCCCGGCGGGAUUUCAUGAGUUCGGGCCCCGUUCGUUUUCUUUCUAACCUCAAUCGUUAACAUAGGUAGUGAUGGCUCCUUCGAAAAAGUAGACACACUGGGGCCUGUCAGAGAAACUCAAACACUCACAACCAAACAUAAUUCAAUUAGUUACCGCCAUAAAAUGGCUGAAAUAUUGCCAGAACGGCGUAAAACCUCAAUCAAUCAAUGGCUCCUUCGUCAAACACUCGGCAUUUAGAAGUGAGAACCACGGGUCUUUCGGAUAUGUCUCUCAUGCGACUGGCGUUGGCACUUUAAAGAACUCGCACUGCAACGGCCCUGAGCACAAAGCAUAGAUCUAAAUAUGUGGUACUUCAUCUACAGCUAGUGGUAUCUCAAUAUGAGUGAAAAAUUCUCGACAAGACGUUAACCAGUCAAUCAAUUUAACUUCCCAGUACAAAGUAUUUAUACCCUACAUAGCUUAAAAUUUCUAACCAAGGUUAUAGUCGCGGGCACGAAAGGAAAAAGUACAGGAAAAAUCAUUCACUGUAUGGGAUCAUGGUAAUCAAUUUUUUUUUUACUCCACUUUUUACUUUAACAACUUUUAAGCUUCCAAUUAGAAUAUUGCCUUUUUAUGGUAGUAUAAAACUGGUUUAUUUCGGGUCAACUAGUACUGUAUUGUAUUAGUAUAAUUUCGAUUUGCUUGAUAUAGAAUGUUUAUAAACAUUGUUUACUUAUAUUAUAUAAUUACUAAAGCUAACAUAUCGAAUGCCCGUGUAACAUAUGAUUCUUGCUUAUUGUCGUAUGCAAUUUCCGUGUAGCCCAAAAGUCAAUAUAUAGAUUCAGAGGUGCAAUUUUCCACCGACACAUCGCUAGCUUUUGUAUUAAAUGAAAAUUGGAGUGAUUUUAUCUUUUUCAAGGCUGGAUUCUUGUCAAUAUUCACAGAACUUGAGGGGUACACCCAGACUGAGUCUCUGUAAUCCUCCGCUGUGAUAGGCAUACAGUCAUCUUCAAACUUAUCUGGCUUGAAUCUAACACCGAGAUCGAUGUUCAGACAUGUUUUCGGUUGGAAUCGAUGACGUUCGUUCAAGUUAUUUUUAACAACGACCAAUAUUUUUUAUUUAAGCAUGGCCUGGUCCUCACAGAGCAUGUAGACCAUGCAUGACGUCAACAGCACAGGAGCGCGCUUCAUCCGAUUGCGUCAUCUUCGUACCUGUUAUUUACGGCACCUGCCAUUCCUCAGAUUCGCAGACUGUAGGCAAUCAACUACGGAAUAUUGGAAUUAUAGUGCACCGGGACAGACUUCAUUGAUUUUAGACUCAUACAGUAUGGUCACGGCAACGGUGGCGGAUAGCUUGGGACAGCUCUAUGAAUCUCGAUUUUUACUGCAGAGACCCUGAUGGAGCACUCAGCGGGUAUCUAGGCGCCAAAAUUGUUUUGUGCUAAAUUGCAUCCAGGAGACUGACAGGUUUGGAGGGGAAGUGUUAUGAUGUAGGCAGCAAUAUCCUAUAUAGAUAAUACAGCAUAUGGUUCACAUACAGGGUACUUCGACGACUCAACUGUGUAUUGAUGAAGUCAUCCAGCAACACGUGGUUCCAAUAUAAUGCAGCAUCCAGGAUCAGUAUUCCAUUAUGACAACGCCAAACCAUAUACUGUUCGUUCAAUAGAUGGUGUUCUGCAAAGACACACUAUCCAGGUUCAUCCUUGGCCAUCCAAAUCAUCAGAUGUGAAACCUAUCGAACAUGGUACGAACUGGAUAGGCGCAUCUGCAAAGACAACCACUGUCUCAGACUCUGCAACAACUGGUCCAAGCUCUGCAAUUAAAGUCGAACACCAUCCCUAUACAGUUAUUUAGAGACUUAAUUGCCCAUGGGAACGCGUUGGUACUCGUGGGUGGCAUACUAAACAUUGUACUUGGUGACCUUGAACUGAUGACUGUAAUUAUCAUUAGUGGUUGUAAUAGUUUGAUUUCAACGUUUACAUCAUUUUUGUGUUAAAUAUCUUUAAUGUCUUAAAAUGAAUAUGAAAUUGCA